UUCCUUAGAUGGUACGUACAGUUACUUGGAUAACUGUGGCAAUUCUAGAGCUAAUACAUGCAAACCGAGUUCCGACCGCUUCGCAGGCGGAAGGAAUGCUUUUAUUAGAUCAAAACCAAUCGGACUCCUCCGCGGGUCCGUCACGUCUUGGUGACUCUGAAUAACUUCGGGCUGAUCGCACGGUCCCGAACCGGCGACGCAUCUUUCAAAUGUCUGACUUAUCAACUUUCGAUGGUAGGUUCUGCGCCUACCAUGGUCGUAACGGGUAACGGGGAAUCAGGGUUCGAUUCCGGAGAGGGAGCCUGAGAAACGGCUACCACAUCCAAGGAAGGCAGCAGGCGCGCAAAUUACCCACUCCCGGCACGGGGAGGUAGUGACGAAAAAUAACGAUGCAGAACUCUUUCCGAGGCUCUGCAAUCGGAAUGAGCACACUCUAAAUCAUUUAACGAGUAUCCAUUGGAGG
rnacentral:rRNA from 4 species